AUGUAGGUUACUUUUUGAAAUCAUGGGUAUCUUAUAUUGUAUGUUGUGUACUUUGGUAUUGAUGUGUGGGAUGGUAUCUUUUUUAUUGUUAUACCUUUGGAUGGAUUGAGCUAUGUAAAUAUGGGCAGGAUUUAAAUUUUAAUGGUGGCUAGUCAAAGAGGGGUUGUUUUUUCUUUAAUUCUAAAAAGAGGUAUUAUGCAAUGCUCCGGUCAUAUGUUUGAUUAGGCUUUAAGUUUGUACAUGCGAGCCCACAGUACUGUGAUUCAAUCCAAUGAUAUGAUGGCCUUCACUGUUAACAGGUCAUGAACCAGAAAUCUCCCAGAUUGGAGAAGCCCUAAACCUUCAAUAGGUAGCUAAGAAGUAGAUGUUUUACAAAGAAAACAUAGCAACAGCUCACAUUUAUUUUUAUUUUUGAGGGGCUAAAUGUUCUGUGGCUGGUGGAUUUUUGGUGCAUGGGCCAUCCACAGUGUGGCCCAUCAUACCACUGGCUUGGAUCACUGAACUGUGGGCCCCACCCAGCUCUACAAACCAAAAGCACGAAGUACAAGCUAUUGGCCCGAGCAUUGUUUAAUAUCUCUUCUAACAACUCAUAUCAGCUAAAAAUUUCUUCUCACUUGCAUUCACAGUUUACUAUCAGAGAUCAUACCUCAACACCCCAGUUACUUAACAUACUCUACGAAGGAAAAGCUUCGUCAUCAGAAGACAUUGAAGGAGUUCACCAAAGAAAUGGAAACUUUGAAGCCUCGACUUGGAAGGAAAAUCAAUGAGAUUGACGGACAUCACGUUGAGAGGCCUAACAAUAGUGUGAAUGGUUCUCAUAUCACCUCACAGAAUCCAGAAUAUCAUUCCCUUCCAGGCUGCAAUGAGAGGAAG